CGGUCUGGCGGCGAGUGGCGAACGGGUGGAUAAUGCAUCGGAACGUACCUUUCAGUGGGGGAUAACGUAGCGAAAGUUACGCUAAUACCGCAUAUUCUGUGAGCAGGAAAGCAGGGGAUCGCAAGACCUUGCGCUGAUGGAGCGGCCGAUGUCAGAUUAGCUAGUUGGUGGGGUAAAGGCUCACCAAGGCGACGAUCUGUAGCGGGUCUUAGAGGAUGAUCCGCCACACUGGAACUGAGACACGGUCCAGACUCCUACGGGAGGCAGCAGUGGGGAAUUUUGGACAAUGGGCGCAAGCCUGAUCCAGCCAUGCCCCGUGAGUGAAGAAGGCCUUCGGGUUGUAAAGCUCUUUCGGCCGGGAAAAAAUCGCUUGGGUUAAUACCCUGAGUGGAUGAUGGUACCGGAAUAAGAAGCACCGGCUAACUACGUGCCAGCAGCCGCGGUAAUACGUAGGGUGCGAGCGUUAAUCGGAAUUACUGGGCGUAAAGCGUGCGCAGGCGGUUUUGUAAGACAGGCGUGAAAUCCCCGGGCUCAACCUGGGAACUGCGUUUGUGACUGCAAGGCUAGAGUAUGGCAGAGGGGGGUGGAAUUCCACGUGUAGCAGUGAAAUGCGUAGAGAUGUGGAGGAACACCAAUGGCGAAGGCAGCCCCCUGGGCCAAUACUGACGCUCAUGCACGAAAGCGUGGGGAGCAAACAGGAUUAGAUACCCUGGUAGUCCCCCUAAACGAUGUCAACUAGGUGUUGGGUGGGUAAAACCAUUUGGUACCGUAGCUAACGCGUGAAGUUGACCGCCUGGGGAGUACGGCCGCAAGGUUAAAACUCAAAGGAAUUGACGGGGACCCGCACAAGCGGUGGAUGAUGUGGAUUAAUUCGAUGCAACGCGAAAAACCUUACCUACCCUUGACAUGCCAGGAACUUGCCAGAGAUGGCUUGGUGCCCGAAAGGGAGCCUGGACACAGGUGCUGCAUGGCUGUCGUCAGCUCGUGUCGUGAGAUGUUGGGUUAAGUCCCGCAACGAGCGCAACCCUUGUCGUUAAUUGCCAUCAUUUAGUUGGGCACUUUAACGAGACUGCCGGUGACAAACCGGAGGAAGGUGGGGAUGACGUCAAGUCCUCAUGGCCCUUAUGGGUAGGGCUUCACACGUCAUACAAUGGUCGGUACAAAGGGUUGCCAAGCCGCGAGGCGGAGCCAAUCCCAGAAAGCCGAUCGUAGUCCGGAUCGCAGGCUGCAACUCGCCUGCGUGAAGUCGGAAUCGCUAGUAAUCGUGGAUCAGCAUGUCACGGUGAAUACGUUCCCGGGUCUUGUACACACCGCCCGUCACACCAUGGGAGCGGGUUCCGCCAGAAGUAGGUAGCCUAACCGCAAGGAGGGCGCUUACCACGGCGGGGUCC
rnacentral:rRNA from 1 species